UAUAAUACAAUCAUAAGUUUUAAAUAUAAGCUUUGGAAGCUUAAGUUAUUCAAUUUUGAUUUACAAAAUCAAUAUUUUAA
rnacentral:tRNA from 1 species